rnacentral:rRNA from 1 species
GACGAACGCUGGCGGCGUGCCUAAUACAUGCGAGUAGAACGCUGAAGAGAGGAGCUUGCUCUUCUUGGAUGAGUUGCGAACGGGUGAGUAACGCGUAGGUAACCUGCCUUGUAGCGGGGGAUAACUAUUGGAAACGAUAGCUAAUACCGCAUAACAAUGGAUGACACAUGUCAUUUAUUUGAAAGGGGCAAUUGCUCCACUACAAGAUGGACCUGCGUUGUAUUAGCUAGUAGGUGAGGUAAUGGCUCACCUAGGCGACGAUACAUAGCCGACCUGAGAGGGCGAUCGGCCACACUGGGACUGAGACACGGCCCAGACUCCUACGGGAGGCAGCAGUAGGGAAUCUUCGGCAAUGGGGGCAACCCUGACCGGGCAACGCCGCGUGAGUGAAGAAGGUUUUCGGAUCGUAAAGCUCUGUUGUAAGUCAAGAACGGGUGUGAGAGUGGAAAGUUCACACUGUGACGGUAGCUUACCAGAAAGGGACGGCUAACUACGUG